UCUCCGUUGGUGAACCAGCGGAGGGAUCAUUACAGAGUUGCAAAACUCCCAAACCAUUGUGAACGUUACCUAUCCCGUUGCUUCGGCGGGCGGCCCGGGCGCCCCUAGCGGCCCGGAACCAGGCGCCCGCCGGAGGACCCAAACUCUUGCUUUGAACAGUGGCAUACUCUCUGAGUCUCAAAAACAAAAAUAAAUUAAAACUUUCAACAACGGAUCUCUUGGCUCUG
rnacentral:misc_RNA from 1 species